rnacentral:lncRNA from 1 species
AAAGGAGGAGGUGUAAUGUCUUGAGGAAUUUCGCCCUAUUUCUCUUAUCACUAGUCUUUACAAGAUCAUUGCGAAGAUCUUAGCAAACAGGAUGAGGGCGGUCAUCGAUUCAAUCAUCUCAGAAAACCAAAGUGCUUUUAUCAGCGAUAGGUUCAUCCUUGAUGGAGCAGUGAUCCUUAAUGAGGCUGUCACCGAAGCUAAGAGAAUGAGGCUUAAGAGAAUUUUCUUUAAGAUAGACUUCGCCAAAGCCUAUGACUCACUUGAAUGGGAUUUCCUUGAUAUUAUGAUGCAACGCUUCAACUUCGACCCCCUUUGGAGGAAAUGGAUCAAAGGAUGCCUUGAGUCAGCCUCGGCGAACAUUCUUAUCAACGGCUCACCAUCGGGAGAAUUCCAGCUUCAACGAGGCCUCAGACAGGGAGACCCGCUGUCUCCGUUCCUUUUCCUAGUUGCAGCUGAGGGAUUACAUUCGCUGAUGAACAUUGCAACGGAGAAAAAGUUCAUACGACCAGCCGAAAUUGGAAAAGAAAGAAUCAAAAUCUCACAUCUCCAAUAUGCCGACGACACCAUUUUUGUGCUCGAUGAUCAGGUUAGUAAUGCUGAAUCUUUGAAGUUUAUUCUGAGUAUUUUUCAGUUAUUGUCGGGGCUCACGGUAAACUUUGAUAAAAGUUUUCUUUAUGGUGUGGAGAUGGAGGAUGUGGAAAUCGAGAGUAUGGCUGGAAUCUUGAACUGCAAGGUCGGCUCUUUUCCUUUCAAAUACUUGGGACUCAAAAUCGGCGGGCGUGAUAGAAGUGUUGUCAAUUGGAAUUCGAUUGUGGAGAAGGUUAAAAAAAGAGUGGCUGGCUGGAAGAACAGAAAUCUUUCCUUUGCUGGGCGUACCACCUUGGUAAAAGCAGUCUUGCAGGCAAUCCCGAUCUACCAACUAUCUUUUUCGUUGAUACCUAAGGAAACCAUUAAAUCUCUUACCUCUAUCUUCAGCAAAUUUCUCUGGGGAGGGAGUGGCAGUAACGGGCAGAUUGUGUGGGUUAAGUGGAGUGACCUGUGCAUGGAAAAAGAGGAAGGGGGACUCGGUCUCAGGAAUCUAGAGUGGUUUAACUGGGCUUUGGUCUUAAAGUGGAUUUGGAGAUAUCUUCGUGGGAAAGGGAAGUUAUGGGCAAGAGUUGUGAAAUCGAUUUACGGCGACAUCGAGUGGGGGGAUGCAGGAAUGAAACUGCCGACAACAGGUAAGGCAAGGACGGGAUGGUGGCCUAAAGUGAUCUCGCUGUGUGAGAGACCAUCGAACAGAUGGUUCGUCAGCCAUCUUAAAUGCUAUAUCGGCGAUGGGAGGAAGACCAGCUCUGGAAGCAAAAUUGGACAGGUACGACAUCUCUUAAAUCUGAAUUUCCGAGAUUGUUUCACCUAAGUGCAAACAAAGAGGCGACGGUGAGUGAGAUGGGAAAAUGGACGGACGGAGGGUGGGUCUGGGAUUUGAAGUGGAGGCGACAACUUUUCCAGAGAGAGGCUGAGAUCACUAAUGACCUUCUGUCUUUUAUUUCUGGAGUUAAGCUUGUGGCAGGAACCGAAGACGGAUGGAGUUGGAGUGCAGCCACAAACGGUAACUUCUCAACAAAAUCGGCCUAUAACUGCAUCAAGGACUCGAUGAAUCAGGAAGCGACGCCGCAUCCCAACAAGGAACUGCUUGCAAAAGUGUGGAAAAUCCUGGCACCACAGAAAGCGAGAAUGACGGCAUGGAGAGCUCUGAGAAAUAGACUUCCAACCUGUGAUAACCUGAAGAGAAGAAACAUCCCGCUCGAUAAGGUUGAGGUUAUGUGUAACGUGUGCUGCCAUCAAACUGAAACAGCUGAUCAUGUGCUCUUAACCUGUCCGAAAGCGGAAGCCGUGUGGAAUGAAAUUCAAAAGUGGCUGGGAAUUUCAGACGUGCGACACCAUUCUUUAAUCACACAUUUCGAAUCCUUCACUCAUUUGGGCAGGAGCAAGAGGAGCUGGAAUUUUCUAUCGGCGCUUUGGGUUUGUUACGUUUGGCUCAUGUGGAAGUGGCGAAAUGAAGGUAGAUUCGAAUGCAAGAACGGAGAAAUCAAGAGCAUGAUGGGGGAGCUUAAAGCUAGAAUGUGGAGUUGGUGUAAAGUGUUUGAGAUGAUGGACAAGGACAGCAAGUUUUCCUUUUGGAUGACUCGGGAAAUUCACUCUCUUGUGUUGUAAUUUUACUGGUACCUCUGGUACCUCUUUUGGUGAUUUAUAAAAUCUUUUUUCUGAUAAAAAAAAAGAAUAUAAUAACCAAAUACCUGGUACAAGAUUGCCCGAGUUAUCCGUCCUUGCGACUACAACUACUUAAAAUGAUAGAAUAUUUAGCAAACUAAAAGCAAAACAUAAAGACAAGUGUGUUUGGGAUGCACAACUAUAAGAGUAAAUGACAAUGUGGGAGCAAAAGUUCUCUCCAGGCUGCAUCUUCUUCAUUUUAAUAGUGGUGACUGGUGAAGGGCAAACCCUAGCCGUGCUAGUUUUCGAAUCUUCAUCAUGAUCUUCUUUCCUUGUUUAGCUCGAUUCUUGAUUGAUCUGGUUGAAGAUGUACUUCCAACUGUAUUCUUAAGUCAACUAUUUCUCUUUCUCGAUCCUUCCAGUCCCUUUUGCCUUGGUGAACUUUCUUUUUUUUAAUCUUUCCAUUCAAACGGCUGGCUAUUGCUGCUUAUGGUAAUGGUCGGACCAGCUAUUUCUUCUGGUGUGCCUCAUACCGGGUGGUACACUUUGGAGUUUCCCGCGCCUCAAAUAUGAUACUGAGGGGUACUUCGCCUCGACUCCUUCCUGGUAAACAUGACAUAAUGCAAUUGUGGGCUAGUACAGCCCAUCCCGACCAUAUUAUGCGUAUUCGCCCCUUGCUGGGGUUCUCCUCUUGGAAACCUUGUUUUCUCCUCAAAAGAUCAAGAUAGGCACAAUAAAAAGGAAAAAAUAAGGUCAAAUGGCCUAAAAGUCGAAGACGCAUCAAGUUCAUAAAAAGUAAAUCCCUUUUAAGACAUUUAAAUCAGCUAAAAAAUCAUAACCUGGCGGAUAAAUUCAAGAAAAUAUUAAUGAGCGAGUGAAAUAGAAGCUCUCUAUCCCUUUUUACAUGCUUUUCACCGAGUAAAACUUCGAAUAAUUGCUAGAUUUAACGUUAUGGGUCAAAAAUAACUAAACUUAAAAACAUAGAACCAUGGAUAGAAAUGUGAGAGUUAUAUUGCUAGAUUUAUACUACUUUACAUGACAAAGGUAUUUUACGUCCACUGCAUGUAUUCAUGAGUGCGGCGUCUGCCAAAUCAAGUAAAUGUAUCCAAUAACUAAUUAUUUGUCCUCUUGUGACAAGGCUGUUCAUUGAGGGACUCGUGUUUUCUGUGAUCAUCCUACAGUUAUAGGAUGUAGCCAUGUAACUUAACUAUAAUGUACAACCUUGUGAAUUAUCUAAGGUUGUGGGUGGUCUAGCUCUAUUAAUUGUCUAGUCAUGUAAGCUCUCUUACGUCUCGUUACACUACCCACUUAAUCCUAGAAUCUCUACAUACAGGAAUAAGUGGGCAGUUGUAGAGAAAUGAAUAAAAUAUCCUUGCCCUUGUUUUGAUGAUACCAAAACCCCUUAGAUCCUUUCUAUAGCUUUAGUAUUUUUCGUUGAACUCAAGUGUUAGAGUUCAAAGUGCUUAGAAUAGGAUUCUGACUUGUUGACUGAUGGACAUAAGACCGCGCAACUGAAGUCAUUCUGACUGAAGCAUCAUGAGACUUUUCCUAACUGAAAAUUGAAUGCAAGUACCAAUCAGAAGCUACCCAAAGGAUUCAUGUCAUCGUAGAACUGAAGCAAAGUGAAAAUGCUAACAACCUUUCUACUCUCGAUUGAACCAAGGAGUAUCAGACACGCAGCAUUAAAUGCCAUGUACGGAGCAUUAAAUGCAGGGGAUUUGACGAUCGUCCUUGCAAGGACCAAACUUUCUCUUUUUGUGUAAAUCUGCAGAAGUAACAAGCUCCAAGACUACUCCGAUUCAAAUUCAAGUUUGAAUGAGCUUGCGAAGAUUUCCACCUCAGCUCAUGAAGUGACAACACCUCACAACGGCAGGAAUUUCAAAGACCUUCUCUCCAACGGAACUAUUCGGAACUCCACCUAUAAAUAGCGCCGAGGAUCAACCGCAAAUCUUCACUGAUUCAAUUACAUAGCCAAAGCUCUACAGAAAUUACUACUCAAGCUCAACUGUUCACAAAAGAUUGAAUCGAAGAAGAGAGUCAUCAAAGCUUAAGUCAUCAGAAUAUCUGAUCACCAAAACUCUCUUAACUUUCUAGGCAUAUAUCUCAUACACAUCCUAAGCCUAGAAUUUGAUUACGCGAGAGCCUAUUCUCAAGUAAUCCUAGUUGGAAGAUAAGUUCAAACCCCUUUUUGUUUAGAGUUAAGUGUUUGAAGUUAGAACGAGUUCAGACCAGUGUUCUGACUCAAAGUUCUUAGUGUGUGUUAUCGCACUAAGAGGAGAAAGAGAAAUCCAACCCAGUGUGUUGGUAUUGGAACGGUUGUUUCAGUUGUUCAAGUUUGCUUUGCACCCAUAAGCAUUGCAGUCAGGUUUGCUGUGCACCCGUAAGCACAAGCGAGUGAUUGUCAGAUCAUUCUCUGGCCGUGGAUGUAGGAACGUUGUUUUCCGAACCACGUAAAAAUCCCUUGUGUUCGUACUUGCUUUUAUAUUCAGUACUUGCGCAUAUCUCUGUUUCUCUAAUACUGACUAACUGAAAAGAGUAACUAAGGGAUUCUCUGUAGAAAGAAAAUCUUUCAAGACUAUCUCACUAUGUUUAAUAUUCCGAUGUUAGAGUUAUAGGUUUAACUAAUCAAUCUUUAGAUAGUCAAUUAAAUAAGUAACUCUACUCUGUUUUACUUACGACUGAAGCUUUACUUGGACUGAAGUUAAUUGACCAGCUCAAUUAACUGAAGUCACCCACUGAACCUUUGUUUCAGUAUGGAUUGCCUCCUCUUGUCAACUGAACCGUACACUUUCAAAGCAGUAAAACUCUCUUUCAGUACAAAGGUAUUUGUUUUAAGUAAACAUCUUACAAAAAUAGCCUACAAGUGUAUUCCUCCCUUCCAUACACCUGUCCUUUCAACCCUCAAGGACCCAAUAGUUGUUUCAUGAACGUAAGUGAAGUAAAUCAUUUUUUAUAGAUUAAAACAUAAUAUUCUUUGUUCUAGGUUCAUCUUGUUAAAAAAUGGAAUUUGAGUAAUGAAUCUCCACCAAUUUGUGUGGGCAUUUGAUAUUCAUGUGUGUUGGGUAUCUUCGCCUUGCCGGGAUUACUCCACUUGUUUCCCGAACCUCCGGUCCGUCUCACUUCGUGCUCAGGCACUUCUUCUUCUUCUAUUCUUCUCUUCUCAGCUCCUCCUUCCUUCUGUCAGAUCUGCACAAAAAGGGCAAGCAAGGAGUAACAAGAUACAAGAAAGUAAAGAAAAGAGAUAAAGAAGUAAAAGUUCAGAGAAGGGGAAAAGGUGUCCUCGGGACACAGGGGGCUCAGAUUUUCCCCUUUAACUCAGCAACCCUUCCGGCAGCUGAAUGAUCAACGGCGAGGUAAGGACAAUGGAGCAGCUUCACAGAUCUCAACAGAGCCACCAACAGCAGGAGCCAAGGUCAGAACUCCGGCAGCUCAGAUCUUCUCAGGUAAUCACCAAACAGGGCUCCGAUGGUCAGGAAAAACCCGGUGAUACCUCCACCCACGUCUGGGAAUCCCGUAUUAUCAAGGAGUUACUCACAAAGGAAUAGCAGAGCCUUUCAGUCCUUGAUAAUACGUAUUCCCGGCAUGAGAAAGCAUCAGAGAUUUAAAGGGAAGAGGGAGGAGCUGGACAACAGUAAUGGAGAUGGAGGAACCGAGGGGAUGGGCGGUGGAGCGGCGGAGAAGAUGGAGAGUCAGGGAGAGAGAGGGAUUAGGGUUUGGGAGAGAGAGCGGCGCUGAGUGAAAGUGAGAGAGAGAGAGAAGCGGGAGUAAUAUAUCCGGGGUGUGAGUGGGCUAGGGUUAAGGGGAUGGGCUGGGAUGGGAGAUUGGGCUCGGUUCUGGGCCCUGAAGUUGGCCCAGACCCAAAAAGAAAAAGAAAGGGAGAAGGGAAUGAGAAAUGGGCCAACCUCACAUAUCCACCUUUGGCACAUUGAUCAUUCUGUCACCAGGGAAGGGUCAUCAAUAGAGUUGGAGUUAUCAUCACAGCCCAAUUUUUACUCUUAUCUGCCACAAAGUCAAGACAAGAGAGGGUGAGAGAAAUAUUAAGCAUAUUUAACUCAGUCUCAAACCACAGAGACCAACCCAGGGUAAUCACCAAUUUCUCAAACCCAAAGGGUUAUCAUUGAAGACACACACACACAAAAGAUCCACUCAAGGAACACAAGGGAAAAGAAAAGAACAAGACUCAGAGACACGAGAACAAAACAGAACUCUCAACAAAACAGACACACAGGGUAAGAGAGAACAUGCAGAGCAGGCAAACACAGGACAAGCAGAGGAACAGACUCAACACAUGCAGCAAAAACAACAGAAAAG